rnacentral:rRNA from 1 species
UACGUAGGGUGCGAGCGUUGUCCGGAAUUAUUGGGCGUAAAGCGCGCGUAGGCGGCUUUGCAAGUCGGGUGUGAAAUCCCCAGGCUUAACCUGGGAACUGCAUUCGAGACUGCAUUGCUAGAGUAUGGGAGAGGGAAGUGGAAUUCCCGGUGUAGUGGUGAAAUGCGUAGAUAUCGGGAGGAACACCAGUGGCGAAGGCGGCCUUCUGGGCUCUACCUGGCGCUGAGACGCGAAAGCGUGGGGAGCGAACCGG